AGAGUUUGAUCAUGGCUCAGAUUGAACGCUGGCGGCAGGCCUAACACAUGCAAGUCGAACGGUAACAGGAAGCAGCUUGCUGCUUCGCUGACGAGUGGCGGACGGGUGAGUAAUGUCUGGGAAACUGCCUGAUGGAGGGGGAUAACUACUGGAAACGGUGGCUAAUACCGCAUAACGUCGCAAGACCAAAGAGGGGGACCUUCGGGCCUCUUGCCAUCAGAUGUGCCCAGAUGGGAUUAGCUUGUUGGUGAGGUAACGGCUCACCAAGGCGACGAUCCCUAGCUGGUCUGAGAGGAUGACCAGCCACACUGGAACUGAGACACGGUCCAGACUCCUACGGGAGGCAGCAGUGGGGAAUAUUGCACAAUGGGCGCAAGCCUGAUGCAGCCAUGCCGCGUGUAUGAAGAAGGCCUUCGGGUUGUAAAGUACUUUCAGCGGGGAGGAAGGUGUUGCGGUUAAUAACCGCAGCAAUUGACGUUACCCGCAGAAGAAGCACCGGCUAACUCCGUGCCAGCAGCCGCGGUAAUACGGAGGGUGCAAGCGUUAAUCGGAAUUACUGGGCGUAAAGCGCACGCAGGCGGUCUGUCAAGUCGGAUGUGAAAUCCCCGGGCUCAACCUGGGAACUGCAUUCGAAACUGGCAGGCUUGAGUCUUGUAGAGGGGGGUAGAAUUCCAGGUGUAGCGGUGAAAUGCGUAGAGAUCUGGAGGAAUACCGGUGGCGAAGGCGGCCCCCUGGACAAAGACUGACGCUCAGGUGCGAAAGCGUGGGGAGCAAACAGGAUUAGAUACCCUGGUAGUCCACGCCGUAAACGAUGUCUACUUGGAGGUUGUGCCCUUGAGGCGUGGCUUCCGGAGCUAACGCGUUAAGUAGACCGCCUGGGGAGUACGGCCGCAAGGUUAAAACUCAAAUGAAUUGACGGGGGCCCGCACAAGCGGUGGAGCAUGUGGUUUAAUUCGAUGCAACGCGAAGAACCUUACCUGGUCUUGACAUCCACGGAAGUUUUCAGAGAUGAGAAUGUGCCUUCGGGAACCGUGAGACAGGUGCUGCAUGGCUGUCGUCAGCUCGUGUUGUGAAAUGUUGGGUUAAGUCCCGCAACGAGCGCAACCCUUAUCCUUUGUUGCCAGCGGUCCGGCCGGGAACUCAAAGGAGACUGCCAGUGAUAAACUGGAGGAAGGUGGGGAUGACGUCAAGUCAUCAUGGCCCUUACGACCAGGGCUACACACGUGCUACAAUGGCGCAUACAAAGAGAAGCGACCUCGCGAGAGCAAGCGGACCUCAUAAAGUGCGUCGUAGUCCGGAUUGGAGUCUGCAACUCGACUCCAUGAAGUCGGAAUCGCUAGUAAUCGUGGAUCAGAAUGCCACGGUGAAUACGUUCCCGGGCCUUGUACACACCGCCCGUCACACCAUGGGAGUGGGUUGCAAAAGAAGUAGGUAGCUUAACCUUCGGGAGGGCGCUUACCACUUUGUGAUUCAUGACUGGGGUGAAGUCGUAACAAGGUAACCGUAGGGGAACCUGCGGUUGGAUCACCU
rnacentral:rRNA from 1 species